GACGAACGCUGGCGGCGUGCCUAAUACAUGCAAGUUGAGCGAUGAAGAUUGGUGCUUGCACCAAUUUGAAGAGCAGCGAACGGGUGAGUAACGCGUGGGGAAUCUGCCUUUGAGCGGGGGACAACAUUUGGAAACGAAUGCUAAUACCGCAUAACAUCUUUAAACAUAAGUUUUAAGUUUGAAAGAUGCAAUUGCAUCACUCAAAGAUGAUCCCGCGUUGUAUUAGCUAGUUGGUGAGGUAAAGGCUCACCAAGGCGAUGAUACAUAGCCGACCUGAGAGGGUGAGCGGCCACAUUGGGACUGAGACACGGCCCAAACUCCUACGGGAGGCAGCAGUAGGGAAUCUUCGGCAAUGGACGAAAGUCUGACCGAGCAACGCCGCGUGAGUGAAGAAGGUUUUCGGAUCGUAAAACUCUGUUGGUAGAGAAGAACGUUGGUGAGAGUGGAAAGCUCAUCAAGUGACGGUAACUACCCAGAAAGGGACGGCUAACUACGUG
rnacentral:rRNA from 1 species